rnacentral:rRNA from 1 species
GAUGAACGCUGGCGGCGUGCUUAACACAUGCAAGUCGAACGGUCAAGGCGGAGCUUGCUCUGCUGGAUCAGUGGCGAACGGGUGAGUAACACGUGAGCAAUCUGCCCCUGACUCUGGGAUAAGCGCUGGAAACGGCGUCUCAUACUGGAUACGAGCUGUGAAGGCAUCUUCAGCAGCUGUAAAGAACUUCUGUCAGGGAUGAUCUCGCGGCCUAUCCGCUUGUUGGUGAGGUAGCUGAGCCCCAAGCCGUCGACGGGUAGCCGGCCUGAGAGGGUGACCGGCGACAAUAGGACUGAGAGACGGACCAGACGGCUACGGGAGGCAGCAGGGGGGAAUAUUGCGGAAUGGGCGCAAGCCUGAUGCAGCGACGCCGGGUGCGGGACGCCGGCCUACGGGUUAUAAACCUCUUUGUGCAGGAAAGAAGAGGAAGUGACGGUACCUGCAGAGAAAGCGACGGCUAACUACGUG